GGGGAAUAUUGCGCAAUGGGCGAAAGCCUGACGCAGCAACGCCGCGUGAGUGAUGAAGGCCUUCGGGUUGUAAAGCUCUUUCGGCCGGGAAGAAGGGGUAUGGUUCUAAUAAAAUCAUGCUUUGAUGGUACCGGAAGAAGAAGCACCGGCUAACUUCGUGCCAGCAGCCGCGGUAAUACGAAGGGUGCGAGCGUUGUUCGGAAUUAUUGGGCGUAAAGGGUUCGUAGGCUGGAAAUUAAGUCAAUUGUGAAAUCCCCGAGCUUAACUUGGGACGUGCAUUUGAAACUGGUUUUCUUGAGUAUCGGAGAGGGUGGUGGAAUUGCUGGUGUAGGAGUGACAUCCGUAGAGAUCAGCAGGAACACCGGAGGCGAAGGCGACUGCCUGGCCGAGAACUGACGCUGAGGAACGAAAGCGUGGGGAGCAAAC
rnacentral:rRNA from 1 species